rnacentral:rRNA from 1 species
GGAAGCAGCUUGCUGCUUCGCUGACGAGUGGCGGACGGGUGAGUAAUGUCUGGGAAACUGCCUGAUGGAGGGGGAUAACUACUGGAAACGGUGGCUAAUACCGCAUAACGUCGCAAGACCAAAGAGGGGGACCUUCGGGCCUCUUGCCAUCAGAUGUGCCCAGAUGGGAUUAGCUUGUUGGUGAGGUAACGGCUCACCAAGGCGACGAUCCCUAGCUGGUCUGAGAGGAUGACCAGCCACACUGGAACUGAGACACGGUCCAGACUCCUACGGGAGGCAGCAGUGGGGAAUAUUGCACAAUGGGCGCAAGCCUGAUGCAGCCAUGCCGCGUGUAUGAAGAAGGCCUUCGGGUUGUAAAGUACUUUCAGCGGGGAGGAAGGUGUUGUGGUUAAUAACCGCAGCAAUUGACGUUACCCGCAGAAGAAGCACCGGCUAACUCCGUGCCAGCAGCCGCGGUAAUACGGAGGGUGCAAGCGUUAAUCGGAAUUACUGGGCGUAAAGCGCACGCAGGCGGUCUGUCAAGUCGGAUGUGAAAUCCCCGGGCUCAACCUGGGAACUGCAUUCGAAACUGGCAGGCUUGAGUCUUGUAGAGGGGGGUAGAAUUCCAGGUGUAGCGGUGAAAUGCGUAGAGAUCUGGAGGAAUACCGGUGGCGAAGGCGGCCCCCUGGACAAAGACUGACGCUCAGGUGCGAAAGCGUGGGGAGCAAACAGGAUUAGAUACCCUGGUAGUCCACGCCGUAAACGAUGUCUACUUGGAGGUUGUGCCCUUGAGGCGUGGCUUCCGGAGCUAACGCGUUAAGUAGACCGCCUGGGGAGUACGGCCGCAAGGUUAAAACUCAAAUGAAUUGACGGGGGCCCGCACAAGCGGUGGAGCAUGUGGUUUAAUUCGAUGCAACGCGAAGAACCUUACCUGGUCUUGACAUCCACAGAAGAAUCCAGAGAUGGAUUUGUGCCUUCGGGAACUGUGAGACAGGUGCUGCAUGGCUGUCGUCAGCUCGUGUUGUGAAAUGUUGGGUUAAGUCCCGCAACGAGCGCAACCCUUAUCCUUUGUUGCCAGCGAUUAGG